rnacentral:rRNA from 1 species
GACAGAGGGGGCAAGCGUUGCUCGGAAUUACUGGGCGUAAAGGGCGCGUAGGCGGGAUGGCAAGUCGGUCGUGAAAUCCUUCGGCUCAACCGAAGAACGUCGAUCGAUACUGCUGUUCUUGAGGGUUGCAGAGGAGACUGGAAUUCCCGGUGUAGCGGUGAAAUGUGUAGAUAUCGGAAGGAACACCGGUGGCGAAAGCGGCGCGCUGGAUCUCUUCUGACGCUGAGGCGCGAAAGCCAGGGGAGCGAACGGG